CUUGGAGAACAAGCAAAUUAUCACCAACAUAUAAAACAUCAUCACCAUGUGUAAGCUUUUUUUUAUGUGUGUUUGUUGAUGUUACUAUUUGUUCAAUAUGUGUAAUCCAGUUUUCGUUCAGGUAAAUAUACGUAGGAGAGAAAAGGAGAGAGAGAAAGGAAAAGAAAAGGUUAAUCAAUUCAAUCCACCGUUGACUUUGAGCUGUUAUGUUUGGAUAAAACAAAUACCAUUUUAAUUGUAACACUUACUACACAUCCUGCUUAAAACCAUCACUAUUUGAGUAUAAAACUACUUUGUAACAACGUUUCUCUCUCCCCCUCUCUCUCUCUCAGUGAUAAUCACCAUCCAUAGUAACCUGGAGAAAAUGAUUCUGACAUUAUACUGAUUAUGGCGAUGAUUAAAACAAGGUGAACAAAAUUAAACAAGAAAAAGUGACGAGUACAACUUAUCAAGAAUCAUAAUACAACAUUGAAACCAUUACAUCAACAUCUACAUUUCCCAAACACCAAGAUCAUCUUUCACCAAACCAUCAUCAGCUUUAACCACAACACCGACAGCAUCAAGACAACAAGGCUUUCUGUUUCUCUAUCGAUCCCCUUCCCUUUCUCUGUGAAUCAAUCAAAUGGAAGCUUGUUAUUUGUACUUCAUCAGGUGCUCUGUGUUAUUUUACGUUUUAAUACUUCAGACAUCUGAAGAAGUACAUUUAUCAAGGCUUAACCGGAGUACAUCGCCCAUAUUAUUAUCCAUCUUUCUCUAUCUCUCCAACUGGCUUUUGGUGUUGUUUUUGUCUCAGUUUUUUUUCUAUUUCUCUUUUUUUCUCUGUCUGUUUUUUUUCUGUCUGUUGUCUCUCUCCCUUUUCCCCACACUGUCUGUCACACCUUUUUAUUUGCUCUCUCUCUCUCUCUCUCUCUCUCUCUCUCUCUCUCUCUCUCUACCUCUGACAGAGGUUCCUCUGUGUUUCUUUAUGUGUGUGUUGACCUUGUUUUGUUAACUUUCUUUUCCUUUCUUUCUCUAUCUUUUUUUUUCCUUUUCUUUUCGACUCAUUUCUUGCUUUUUUCUUUCUUUUGUUUCUUGCUAACAUUCUGUUGUUUCGAUUGUUGAUGCUGUGCCUUUCUUUUCUAUCUUUUUCUGUUUUGUUUUUUUUUAUCUCUCUCUAUCUUUCUCUUUCAUGACAAUACGAUGAUGAUGAGAUGAUGAAAUGAUGAUGAUGAUGGUUUUGGUAUUUUUUUCAUGAAAUUGUUGGAUCCUUUUAUAUGUUCACACCUCAGGACCCUUGGUGGACUUGGUGGUUCCAACUGAUUGGUUACAAGUCGUCUCUGGUUUAAUGGAUUUAGUUAACCGCUGAUCCAAAUUAAAUGUUAUCAUCAAAAUCAAAGAGAAACAAGAAACAAGAAAUUAGAAAUUAGAAGGAGUAAAAAAAAGUGAGAAAGAAAAAAAAAUAAGGAAAGAUAACCAAAGUAUUGAGCUCAAUCAUUGAUAUCACAAACCAGAAUAAUUUUUAGCUCUUUUUAUAUUUAUUUACCUGCAUUAAGGUUCCUUCAAGUUUAUAUAGAUGAUAAAUACCAUAGAUUGGAACACAGGAAACUGAUGAUCCAGUAAUUAACCAACCAAGUCUAAUUGACCAAGCUGGAUAUUUAUAAUUACCCCACUCCAAGUCUUUAUAACCAAUAAUUGCAAAGGAUAAAGUUACCUAAUUGUGAUGCAACAGAAAAGAUUACAAUAAUUAAUAUAUUUAUUGUUAUCUUUCUCGCUAAUCAAACAUAUUCACACAUACACUCACUCUCCCUCUCUCUUGGGGGUUGCCCUGAUUAUAACAAUUACUAUGAUUAGUAUUUUAAUUGUUUAACUUGUAAAUUAGAUAACAACAAAAACUGUUUACCAACAAUUUCAUCCAGCUAUUGAAAUCCAUGUGCUUGAUUGAAUUUAUCUUGAACUAUUCACAAACAGUUUCUAUGUCUCUCAUCUCUUCGAUAGUUCAUUCAUUAUUCAUAGAAUUUCUUUGUUUUAAUUAUGUUCAACUAAUUAUUACUCAAAAAUUUCUAUCAUUUUUUGUGAAUGGAUUUGGUUUCAAUUUGAAAGAAAUGAAAGUCUAGGUAUAGUAACGCCAUCUAUUGAUAGUAAUUAUUAUUACUAUUGAACAAGUAACUCGACUCUAGAAAUAGUCUUUUUUUUCAUUCCAAAACUUAAUCAUCACAAUUAACUGAUUGUGAAUUUAAUUAAUUUAUAUUUUUCUCUACUUACGGCAAGAAAUAUUGGACUAAUGUAGGUCCAACAGGUUCUCCAAAAAAUUCCAGGCAUAUAUCCAAGCAUCUCUUUAAUUUGGAGUGAAAAUCUAUUGGCCCCUGAGAAAGGAAAAAUUGAACCAAUUAGUUAAUUGUUUCUACAAUUAAGUUAAACUGAUUAUUUACCAUAAAACCAGCAAAUUGCAACUGACUCAAUGAAAACAAUAAAUAACAAUGGGAAAGUUGCUCCAUAA